ACUCCUACGGGAGGCAGCAGUGGGGAAUAUUGCACAAUGGGCGCAAGCCUGAUGCAGCCAUGCCGCGUGUAUGAAGAAGGCCUUCGGGUUGUAAAGUACUUUCAGCAGUGAGGAAGGUGGGUAUGUUAAUAGCAUAUUCAUUUGACGUUAGCUGCAGAAGAAGCACCGGCUAACUCCGUGCCAGCAGCCGCGGUAAUACGGAGGGUGCGAGCGUUAAUCGGAAUUACUGGGCGUAAAGCGCAUGCAGGUGGUUUGUUAAGUCAGAUGUGAAAGCCCGGGGCUCAACCUCGGAAUUGCAUUUGAAACUGGCAAACUAGAGUACUGUAGAGGGGGGUAGAAUUUCAGGUGUAGCGGUGAAAUGCGUAGAGAUCUGAAGGAAUACCGGUGGCGAAGGCGGCCCCCUGGACAGAUACUGACACUCAGAUGCGAAAGCGUGGGGAGCAAACAGGAUUAGAUACCCUGGUCGGCUCUGC
rnacentral:rRNA from 1 species